rnacentral:tRNA from 1 species
GGAAGUAUGUCCGAAUGGUAAGGGGACGCUCUUGAAAAGCGUUUAAGGCGGUGCGAUCCGCUGUGGGGGUUCAAGUCCCUCUACUUCCG